GUAGGUGAACCUGCGGAAGGAUCAUUAAUAGUGCCCUCUGAUGCAAAUCAUUGGGUUAGAUCUGCUCUCUUCGCAAGAAGAAGAGGGUUUCCAUACACACCGUGAACUGUGGCUUCGGCCAUCACAAACUGUUAGUAAUGAAUGUAAUAUCAUAACAAAAACAAAACUUUCAACAACGGAUCUCUUGGUUCUG
rnacentral:misc_RNA from 1 species